rnacentral:rRNA from 1 species
UACGGGGGGAGCAAGCGUUGUUCGGAUUUACUGGGCGUAAAGGGCGCGUAGGCGGCCACCGCAAGUCGACUGUGAAAUCUCCGGGCUUAACCCGGAAAGGUCAGCCGAUACUGCGGGGCUAGAGUGCAGAAGGGGCAACUGGAAUUCUCGGUGUAGCGGUGAAAUGCGUAGAUAUCGAGAGGAACACCUGCGGCGAAGGCGGGUUGCUGGGCUGACACGUGACGUGGAGGCGCGAAAGCUAGGGGAGCGAACGGG